UACGGGGGGGGUAAGCGUUGUUCGGAAUUACUGGGCGUAAAGGGCUCGUAGGCGGCCAACUAAGUCAUACGUGAAAUCCCUCAGCUUAACUGGGGAACUGCGUGUGAUACUGGAUGGCUUGAAUCCGGGAGAGGGAUGUGGAAUUCCAGGUGUAGCGGUGAAAUGCGUAGAUAUCAGGAGGAACACCGGUGGCGAAGGCGGUUCUCUGGGCAUGUCCUGACGCUGAGGAGCGAAAGUGUGGGGAGCGAACAGG
rnacentral:rRNA from 1 species